rnacentral:rRNA from 1 species
GACGAACGCUGGCGGCGUGCUUAACACAUGCAAGUCGAACGGAAAGGCCCUUCGGGGUCCUCGAGUGGCGAACGGGUGAGUAACACGUGGGUGAUCUGCCCUGCACUUUGGGAUAAGCCUGGGAAACUGGGUCUAAUACCGGAUAGGACCACGGCAUUCAUGUGCUGUGGUGGAAAGCUUUUGCGGUGUGGGAUGGGCCCGCGGCCUAUCAGCUUGUUGGUGGGGUAAUGGCCUACCAAGGCGACGACGGGUAGCCGGCCUGAGAGGGUGACCGGCCACACUGGGAGUGAGAUACGGCCCAGACUCCUACGGGAGGCAGCAGUGGGGAAUAUUGCACAAUGGGCGCAAGCCUGAUGCAGCGACGCCGCGUGAGGGAUGACGGCCUUCGGGUUGUAAACCUCUUUCGCCAGGGACGAAGCGCAAGUGACGGUACCUGGAGAAGAAGGACCGGCCAACUACGU